AUGUGCUUGAGAUAUCUCUCAGUUCCAAUGGCUGCCAAAUCAGUGGUCGAAAAGCUGGCUCUCUUCUCCAUCUCUUCCCUGCUCCUGUUGAGAGUCUCCUCGUGCACUCCGUCGCCGCCCCUCUCCCUCUCUCUCUCCGGCGGCUCUGCCGUCCGGUGUGAGGAUGGGUUAGGUGGUCGGUCUCCCUCUGUUCAUAGUAGUCUUAGUUUUAGGUGUAGGUUGUGUCUUGCCUCCGUGGCGUCUGGCGUUAUGCCGUACUUGAGCUCCCCAUCAACACAUCCAGGCAGUGUUUGGUGGUCACCAGUAGCCUCCCAGGUCGGCCAUCCAUGGUGGAUGGAGGCAGAUGGGAGUGGAUCUGGUGCGAGCUCUCUUUCCCCAAUAAGCCUGAGGUCUUCCCUGAUCUGGAGGAUGGCCCUCUGCUGCUGCUUGCUCUUUCCAGUCACUUUGGUGGUGGAUGAGGAGCGGGGGCGUUGCAGAUACUUGAAGCCUGCAGAUCGAGUUCGUGCAUAUCAGCAGUCGAUUCCAUGGUGGAGCGACGGCGCCCUCGAUUGGCUGCCGGUCUCCGCUAGUUCGCUGCUUCUUCUGGCCGAAUGGCAGCCGACUCCAUUCCUCCCGGCGUGCGUGCCUUGUGGGAGGCAGACCCAGCUGUUGUUCGGAGGCUAUGGUGUGCAGGUGUUGCGGCCAUGGCGAUUUCUUCGUGCCAAGUGGUUCGUCCCCGGCGGCGAUGAGGUUCAAUCCGGGCGGUGGCUGCUAGGGACCCGAUCGCGUUUCUUGCUUUCAGUUUGGGGUCCUCCAUGUAAAAGUCAGGGGCUUGUUUGUUAUGUAUUUUACUUUGAAGUCCUUGUAGGAGCUUUGUACUUCUACCGCUUUGUGUUAAAUGAAAGCUCGGGGUCGUUCUAG
rnacentral:rRNA from 1 species